GGUUAAAAGCCCUACAAUGAAGUUCCAUAAGCCUAAAAGUGCAAAACUUCCUGUAACUUCAAGUGGCAUUUGAAGCCCUAUUUGAUAUAUCUUCUGUUAAUGAGGUUUCAACAACUGUUCCAGUAAGAGUAGGCUAUUAAGUCUUGCAUGAAGCAACAUGUUCAAGCAACAGUCUGCCUAUUUUCACCAACAUAUUAAUUUGGAAAAAAAAAUUCCGAAAG
rnacentral:misc_RNA from 1 species